rnacentral:ncRNA from 1 species
CCGACACGUCAGGGGAGUCCCGCCAGAGGGGACUGAGAGGCUGACACCGGCACAUUGAUGCCGGGGUGACGCGACCCUUCGAACCUGACCCAGUUGACGCUGGCGUAGGAAGACCGAAGGGCAUUCCC